CCGGAUGAACUGCGGUGAUAUUUCCUGCUUAAAAAGAUGGCAAGACAGUUUCUUGUGUCUCUUCUACUUGCCUCAACUUCAGUUAUGUGUGAGUGCAAGUUUCCAUUGCUGAUAUGAAAAACCCGGAAUAUAAGAACGUUCGUAGACACGACAGAGGACAUCUGGACAUAUAACACCAGUGAGAGUAAGAACGUUAUAUGUAAAGUGGACAAAAGACAGUUUGUGACCGCGGCAUCACUCUUCUUCAAUCGGCAAUACAUAAUAAGGGCGGAAAAGUUUUAUACGUGCUUCAGCGCAAAGUUUGACACCCAGCGAAAAGAAUGUAUGGUUGUCGCUAAUCAAGGCAGUGAGCACACGGAGUGUAUGGUUUAUUACCAUAAACGUUUUGGCUGCGCAGUUAUUAAUGUGAAUAUCAAUAAAGGUGCAGCCCCCUAUUACGACCUUCGGAUUCAGGGUUCCUUCAUAAGGGCAGGCCCAAGCUCCAAAUGCGUCCUAAUGUUUGCGAGGCACACGAUACAUGGGCGGAUUGUAUAUCAUCCGCAAUGCCCGGCAAUACUCAGACGCAACCGAAUGCCAUCUUUUUGCACGACGCCGACGUGUCAUCAUUCCACGCGGUCAUGAAUCAGCAAUAUAUCUUGACGAG
rnacentral:misc_RNA from 1 species